rnacentral:misc_RNA from 1 species
UAAUAAGUGUUUUAUGGCACUUUUUAAAUCCAUAUCCACCUUGUGUGCAAUGUCAGUCGAUCCUCCUCAUGGAGAUCGACCAAACAUCAACCUUUAUUUUUUAACUCUUUGUCUGAAAAAUAUUAUGAAUAAACAAUUCAAAAUA